GGGGAGGCCCUGGAGGCUGUGGAGGUUGUGGAGGCUCUGUCUAGUCUGGUCACGCUGGCGACUAAGGUCAAGGACAUCAGAGAGCUCGUCACCUCCUUGCCUGCUGCCCUGCAGAAACUAGACGGCUUUGAGAGAUGGCAGCUGGUGGACCCCAUCAGUGCUGUGCUGUCUGUCUGUCCCGAGGAGCUAGAGGUGUGGAGGACGUCCGUCCUCUCUGCUGCCCUCCGGUGGCUGAGCUCUUCCUACGGUCACAACAGAGAACAGAACACGGCACCACUCACACAGGAGGACAACAUACUGAAUAGACUAACAGUACUACUGACUUUUCCAGAAGACAUCACAGCAGCUGAAUGGAACAGCUUUGUCAAGGCUGGACUGAAGUA